GGGGAAUUUUGGACAAUGGGGGCAACCCUGAUCCAGCAAUGCCGCGUGAGUGAAGAAGGCCUUCGGGUUGUAAAGCUCUUUUGUCAGGGAAGAAAUGGCGGACUCUAACAUAGUCUGCAGAUGACGGUACCUGAAGAAUAAGCACCGGCUAACUACGUGCCAGCAGCCGCGGUAAUACGUAGGGUGCAAGCGUUAAUCGGAAUUACUGGGCGUAAAGCGUGCGCAGGCGGUUUUGUAAGUCUGAUGUGAAAUCCCCGGGCUUAACCUGGGAACUGCAUUGGAGACUGCAAGGCUAGAGUGUGUCAGAGGGGGGUAGAAUUCCACGUGUAGCAGUGAAAUGCGUAGAUAUGUGGAGGAAUACCGAUGGCGAAGGCAGCCCCCUGGGAUAACACUGACGCUCAUGCACGAAAGCGUGGGGAGCAAACAGGA
rnacentral:rRNA from 1 species